rnacentral:rRNA from 1 species
UACAGAGGUGGCAAGCGUUGUUCGGAAUUACUGGGCGUAAAGGGCGCGUAGGCGGUCUUGUCAGUCCCUUGUGAAAUCCCCCGGCUCAACUGGGGAGCUGCACGGGAAACAGCAGGGCUUGAGUUCGGGAGAGGGAAGCGGAAUUCCGGGUGUAGCGGUGAAAUGCGUAGAUAUCCGGAGGAACACCGGUGGCGAAGGCGGCUUCCUGGACCGAUACUGACGCUGAGGUGCGAAAGCGUGGGGAGCAAACAGG